CUUCAACUGUCCUUCCUAGUCUUCAUUCCAAAUAGAAUGUCCAUCUUGAUUGACAGUUUUAUAGUCCUUGCUUCUCCAGCAUUUGCUACAGACUUUUUUUUCCAUCUCUCCUCCACAACAUUACACCAUCCAGUUCUGAAAUUUCAUGAUUCUGCAUUCACCAACAUUCAACUCUUUUGGAGGCAAUAUUCUUUUUGGAAUCACUCAGAUGACAGUGAAAGUUAAUGUUCAUCUAUUAGAAUUGACUAGGCCUAUGGCCAGACCUAUGGUCAGAAUGUGGAUAGGACUUGGGACCCAGAGAGAAGCAAUCAAUCUGUACCUGACCAGAAGAGAAGAGUAUGGAGUUAGGGAGCAAGGCAGUAAUUAAUAAUGCUCCCUUGCACAGAGACAUUGCAAAGCAGGUUGAUUUUUAGAAGAAUGAGAAGAAAUAGAGAACACCUAUAUGACAUUGGAGUUUUUUUUCUCCCAGUUAUUAGAGUGAAGAAGAAAGAAAAGUAACAUUCCUUAUGCAAACACAGAAAUAUGUUGCACUUGUUUUCAAUUCUGAAAAUGCAUUUCAUAUUUGCUAGCAGUCAUGUACAAGAGAUAUUUACAGAUUGAGAUUAAAGAUUUUGUUAAAACUUUGCCAUUUUUGAGUCUGAAUUUGCCCAUGAAUUUCAUAAAGAUGAAAAACACCUUAAUUGCUGGUUGUCUGACUGUUUUAUACUCAAAAGGAAAUAUGUUUACUAAAAGUCAUAUAAUAUCAGCAUUACCUUUGCUCAGAUUAUUUUUUACAAGUCCUCAACCUUAGCCAUAGGAAAGCAAACUAUCUAGGCUCAUUCUGAUUCCUGUUUCAAGGGAAGCAUCGAAUCACACUUGGUUAAUCUCCUUCUAGUGAGAUCACAUACUAAAAUCCCCAUCAACCAACUGACAACAGGGUGAGUAAAUCGUUCUCAUGUGAUACAAGAGAGUAGAAGCCAGCAUAAGAUUCACUCUCUCAGGCAACACUAUAUUUUCCAUUAAUAGGUCUCUUUGUUGCUCCUUUCCCUAAUGUCUUCAUCCCAAAACAACUCUGAGCAUAAAUGGGAUCUCCUACUUCAUUUCCUGCAGAAAUAACUUUGUGUAUACAACGGGUCAGUUGUCAUAGAGAAGCUUGCUUUAUGUUUGCUUUGUUCUAGGUCUGUUUGCUCAGGUCAUUUCACACUAGGCAUUUUAAUGCACCCUUAACAUGGCAAUAUUGAGGAUUAUUAUGGCUUUUAUGGUAAUGGCAGGUAGCAGCCUUACUUAUAGACUCAGACUCAGGCUUUUCCCUAGAACCAACCUGGCAGAGUUUAGUUCCUUUGUUUCUUUCAUUUGUGUAUUUGAGGUAUUGAAAUACUCUCUCCAUUACAUAUUUAAAAUAUUACCUCCUGGUAGCAGAAGCAGGAAAGGCUAUUUAGGUGAUGACUAAGAAGAAAUCACUUGAGGAGAAAAGAAGCCUUGGGGUUAUCUUGAGGAUGCUCUCUGUUAGGAACCUAACCAUUUCUUCUACAGACUUGUGGCCAGAGUGAGACUCAAUAAAUACAAGAAUGGAUUGCCA
rnacentral:lncRNA from 1 species